rnacentral:rRNA from 1 species
GUGGGGAAUAUUGGGCAAUGGGCGGAAGCCUGACCCAGCGACGCCGCGUGGGGGAAGAAGUCUUUCGGGAUGUAAACCCUUGUUGUACGGGACGAAGGAAGUGACGGUACCGUACGAGGAAGCCCCGGCAAACUACGUGCCAGCAGCCGCGGUAAUACGUAGGGGGCGAGCGUUGUCCGGAAUCACUGGGCGUAAAGCGCACGUAGGCGGGCUGUCAAGUCUGCCGUGAAAGGCACGGGCUCAACCUGUGCAUGUCGGUCGAUACUGGCGGUCUGGAGUAUGGGAGAGGGAACUGGAAUGCCCGGUGUAGCGGUGAAAUGCGUAGAUAUCGGGAGGAACACCAGUGGCGAAGGCGGGUUCCUGGCCCAUGACUGACGCUGAGGUGCGAAAGCCGGGGGAGCGAACGGGAUUAGAUACCCGGGUAGUCC